rnacentral:rRNA from 1 species
GACGUAGGGCGCAAGCGUUGUCCGGAUUUAUUGGGCGUAAAGAGCUCGUAGGCGGCUUGCCACGUCUGCCGUGAAAACCAGCAGCUUAACUGUUGGCUUGCGGUUGAUACGGGUUGGCUGGAGUUCGGUAGGGGAGACUGGAAUUCAUGGUGUAGCAGUGAAAUGCGUAGAGAUCAUGAGGAAGACCAGUGGCGAAGGCGGGUCUCUGGACAGUUCCUGACACUGAGGCACGAAGGCCAGGGGAGCAAACGGG